CCGGACCGGCGCACGGGUGCGUAACGCGUAUGUAACCUACCUAUAACAGGGGCAUAACACUGAGAAAUUGGUACUAAUUUCCCAUAAUAUUCGGAGAGGCAUCUCUCCGGGUUGAAAACUCCGGUGGUUAUAGAUGGACAUGCGUUGUAUUAGCUAGUUGGUGAGGUAACGGCUCACCAAGGCAACGAUACAUAGGGGGACUGAGAGGUUAACCCCCCACACUGGUGCUGAGACACGGACCAG
rnacentral:rRNA from 1 species